UUUCCGUAGGUGAACCUGCGGAAGGAUCAUUAUUGUAUAACCGAGGUGCGAGGGCUGUCGCUGAUCCGUCAGGUCGUUCACGCCCGAGUGCCCUCACCCACAUCCAUCUCACCCCUAUGUGCACCACCGCGUGGGUCCCCCUUUGGCUUGUUCGGAGGUGGGCUUACGUUUUCACACAAACUUUGUAUGCAGUGUAGAAUGUAUUUUUUGUUUUUGCGAUCACGCAAUCAAUACAACUUUCAACAACGGAUCUCUUGGCUCUC
rnacentral:misc_RNA from 1 species